rnacentral:rRNA from 1 species
GUCCAUGGAGCUUGCUCCGGAAGAUCUAGUGGCGAACGGGUGCAUAACACGUGAGAAACCUGCCUCAGUCUCUGGGAUAACAGUUGGAAACGACUGCUAAUACCGGAUGCCGUCACACCAUCACAUGGUGGAGUGACGAAAGAUUUAUCGGAUUGAGAGGGUCUCGCGGCCUAUCAGCUAGUUGGAGAGGUAACGGCUCACCAAGGCAUCGACGGGUAGCUGGUCUGAGAGGAUGAUCAGCCACACUGGGACUGAGACACGGCCCAGACUCCUACGGGAGGCAGCAGUGGGGAAUCUUGCACAAUGGGCGAAAGCCUGAUGCAGCAACGCCGCGUGCGGGAAGAAGGCCCUAGGG